rnacentral:rRNA from 1 species
CAGUAGCCGCGGGAAUACGGAGGGUGCAAGCGUUAAUCGGAAUUACUGGGCGUAAAGCGUGCGCAGGCGGUUAUAUAAGACAGAUGUGAAAUCCCCGGGCUCAACCUGGGAACUGCAUUUGUGACUGUAUAGCUAGAGUACGGCAGAGGGGGAUGGAAUUCCGCGUGUAGCAGUGAAAUGCGUAGAUAUGCGGAGGAACACCGAUGGCGAAGGCAAUCACCUGGGCCUGUACUGACGCUCAUGCACGAAAGCGUGGGGAGCAAAAAGGAUUAGAUACCCGAGUAGUCCCUGUCUCUUAUAC